GGAUCAUUACAAGAAGCCGAAAGGCUACUUCAAACCAUCGCGAACUCGUCCAAGUUGCUUCGGCGGCGCGGCACCCCUUAACGGGGGCGCCGCAGCCCUGCCUCUCCGGAGGUUCGGGGCGCCCGCCGGAGGUACGAAACUCUGUAUUAUAGUGGCAUCUCUGAGUAUAAAACAAAUAAGUUAAAACUUUCAACAACGGAUCUCUUGGUUCUGGCAUCGAUGAAGAACGCAGCGAAAUGCGAUAAGUAAUGUGAAUUGCAGAAUUCAGUGAAUCAUCGAAUCUUUGAACGCACAUUGCGCCCGGUAGUACUCUACCGGGCAUGCCUGUUCGAGCGUCAUUUCAACCCUCAAGCCCUGCUUGGUGUUGGGGCCCUACGGCUGCCGUAGGCCCUGAAAGGAAGUGGCGGGCUCGCUACAACUCCGAGCGUAGUAAUUCAUUAUCUCGCUAGGGAGGUUGCGGCGUGCUCCUGCCGUUAAAGACCCAUCUUUAACCAAGGUUGACCUCGGAUCAGGUAGGAAUACCCGCUGAACUUAAGCAUAUCAAUAAGCGGAGGAAAAGAAACCAACAGGGAUUGCCCUAGUAACGGCGAGUGAAGCGGCAACAGCUCAAAUUUGAAAUCUGGCUUCGGCCCGAGUUGUAAUUUGUAGAGGAUGCUUUUGGUGAGGUGCCUUCUGAGUUCCCUGGAACGGGACGCCAGAGAGGGUGAGAGCCCCGUAUAGUCGGCCACCGAUCCUUUGUAAAGCUCCUUCGACGAGUCGAGUAGUUUGGGAAUGCUGCUCAAAAUGGGAGGUAUAUCUCUUCUAAAGCUAAAUAUAGGCCAGAGACCGAUAGCGCACAAGUAGAGUGAUCGAAAGAUGAAAAGCACUUUGAAAAGAGGGUUAAAUAGCACGUGAAAUUGUUGAAAGGGAAGCGCUUGUGACCAGACUUGUGCCGGGCUGAUCAUCCAGUGUUCUCACUGGUGCACUCGACCCGGCUCAGGCCAGCGUCGGUUUUCGUGGGGGGAUAAAAGCUUCGGGAACGUGGCACCUUCGGGUGUGUUAUAGCCCGUUGCUUAAUACCUCCGUGGAGACCGAG
rnacentral:rRNA from 1 species